rnacentral:tRNA from 1 species
AUCCAUGGCUGACUGGUUAAAGGGCCCAACUCAUAAUUGGCGAAUUCGUAGGUUCAAUUCCUAAUGGAU